rnacentral:rRNA from 1 species
GCGGAGGGAUCAUUACUGAGUGAGGGCCUUCGGGCUCGACCUCCAACCCUUUGUGAACACAACUUGUUGCUUCGGGGGCGACCCUGCCGUUUCGACGGCGAGCGCCCCCGGAGACCAUCAAACACUGCAUCUUUGCGUCGGAGUUUAAGUAAAUUAAACAAAACUUUCAACAACGGAUCUCUUGGUUCUGGCAUCGAUGAAGAACGCAGCGAAAUGCGAUAAGUAAUGUGAAUUGCAGAAUUCAGUGAAUCAUCGAAUCUUUGAACGCACAUUGCGCCCUUUGGUAUUCCGAAGGGCAUGCCUGUUCGAGCGUCAUUUCACCACUCAAGCCUGGCUUGGUAUUGGGCGCCGCGGUCAAUCCGCGCGCCUCAAAGUCUCCGGCUGAGCUGUCCGUCUCUAAGCGUUGUGACUUCAUUAAUCGCUUCGGAGUGCGGGCGGCCGCGGCCGUUAAAUCUUUCACAAGGUUGACCUCGGAUCAGGUAGGGAUACCCGCUG